rnacentral:misc_RNA from 1 species
ACGCUGUAUAUAUAAGUUUGCCCUAGAUCAUAUCCCCAAAGGUAGAGCUGAGGAUAUCUAUAGGAAGUUUGUGGCAUUUGAGAAGCAAUACGGGGAUAAGGAAGGAAUAGAAGAUGCUAUAGUGGGGAAGAGGAGGUUUCAGUAUGAAGAGGAAGUGAGGAAGAAUCCCCUAAAUUAUGAUUCUUGGUUCGAUUAUAUACGAUUGGAGGAGACUGCAGGGAACAAGGAGAGGAUCAGGGAAGUGUAUGAAAGAGCAAUAGCCAAUGUUCCUCCAGCUGAAGAGAA